AACGAACGCUGGCGGCAUGCCUAACACAUGCAAGUCGAACGAACCCUUCGGGGUUAGUGGCGCACGGGUGCGUAACGCGUGGGAAUCUGCCCUUGGCUUCGGAAUAACAGUUAGAAAUGACUGCUAAUACCGGAUGACGUCGCAAGACCAAAGAUUUAUCGGCCAGGGAUGAGCCCGCGUAGGAUUAGGUAGUUGGUGGGGUAAAGGCCUACCAAGCCGACGAUCCUUAGCUGGUCUGAGAGGAUGAUCAGCCACACUGGGACUGAGACACGGCCCAGACUCCUACGGGAGGCAGCAGUGGGGAAUAUUGGACAAUGGGGGUAACCCUGAUCCAGCAAUGCCGCGUGAGUGAUGAAGGCCUUAGGGUUGUAAAGCUCUUUUACCCGGGAUGAUAAUGACAGUACCGGGAGAAUAAGCUCCGGCUAACUCCGUGCCAGCCGCCGCAGUAAAAC
rnacentral:rRNA from 1 species